UACAGAGGUUGCAAGCGUUAAUCGGAUUUACUGGGCGUAAAGCGUGUGUAGGUGGUUGUACAAGUCGGUUGUGAAAUCCCUGGGCUCAACCUGGGAACUGCUUCCGAGACUGUACGACUCGAGAUCGGUAGAGGGCGGUGGAAUUUCCGGUGUAGCGGUGAAAUGCGUAGAUAUCGCUUGGAACGCCGAAGGUGAAAACAGGCUGCUGGGGUUGCGCCGACGCUGAGACACGAAAGCCAGGGGAGCAAACGGG
rnacentral:rRNA from 1 species